GGGGGUAUAGCUCAGUGGUAGAGUGCUUGCCUAGCAUGCAUAAGGCCCUGGGUUCAAUUCUCAGCACUGCAA
rnacentral:tRNA from 1 species